AGUGAACGCUGGCGGUAGGCCUAACACAUGCAAGUCGAACGGCAGCACAGUAAGAGCUUGCUCUUACGGGUGGCGAGUGGCGGACGGGUGAGGAAUACAUCGGAAUCUACUUUUUCGUGGGGGAUAACGUAGGGAAACUUACGCUAAUACCGCAUACGACCUACGGGUGAAAGCAGGGGAUCUUCGGACCUUGCGCGAUUGAAUGAGCCGAUGUCGGAUUAGCUAGUUGGCGGGGUAAAGGCCCACCAAGGCGACGAUCCGUAGCUGGCCUGAGAGGAUGAUCAGCCACACUGGAACUGAGACACGGUCCAGACGCCUACGGGAGGCAGCAGUGGGGAAUAUUGGACAAUGGGCGCAAGCCUGAUCCAGCCAUACCGCGUGGGUGAAGAAGGCCUUCGGGUUGUAAAGCCCUUUUGUUGGGAAAGAAAAGCAGCAGGUUAAUACCCCGCUGUUCUGACGGUACCCAAAGAAUAAGCACCGGCUAACUUCGUG
rnacentral:rRNA from 1 species